AGUCGAACGAGAACGGACUUAAGCUUGCUUAAGUUGUCAGCUAAGUGGCGCACGGGUGAGUAAUGUAUAGUUAACCUGCCCUCGAGAAAGGAAUAACAGAUGGAAACGUCUGCUAAUGCCCUAUAUGCCCAUAAUACAUAAGUAUGCUGGGGAAAUGCUUUAGUGCUCGAGGAUGGGACUGUAUGGUAUCAGAUAGUUGGUGAGGUAAUGGCUCACCAAGUCAAUGACGCCUAACUGGUUUGAGAGGAUGAUCAGUCACACUGGAACUGAGACACGGUCCAGACUCCUACGGGAGGCAGCAGUGGGGGAUAUUGCACAAUGGAGGAAACUCUGAUGCAGCAACGCCGCGUGGAGGAUGACACUUUUCGGAGCGUAAACUCCUUUUAUAUAGGAAGAUAAUGACGGUACUAUAUGAAUAAGCACCGGCUAACUCCGUGCCAGCAGCCGCGGUAAUACGGAGGGUGCAAGCGUUACUCGGAAUCACUGGGCGUAAAGAGCGUGUAGGCGGGUUAUUAAGUCAGAAGUGAAAUCCUAUGGCUCAACCAUAGAACUGCUUUUGAAACUGGUAACCUAGAGUAUGGGAGAGGUAGAUGGAAUUUCUGGUGUAGGGGGUAAAAUCCGUAGAGAUCAGAAGGAAUA
rnacentral:rRNA from 1 species